CUCGUGUCGUGAGAUGUUGGGUUAAGUCCCGUAACGAGCGCAACCCUUGUCCUUAGUUACCAGCACGUUAAGGUGGGCACUCUAAGGAGACUGCCGGUGACAAACCGGAGGAAGGUGGGGAUGACGUCAAGUCAUCAUGGCCCUUACGGCCUGGGCUACACACGUGCUACAAUGGUCGGUACAAAGGGUUGCCAAGCCGCGAGGUGGAGCUAAUCCCAUAAAACCGAUCGUAGUCCGGAUCGCAGUCUGCAACUCGACUGCGUGAAGUCGGAAUCGCUAGUAAUCGUGAAUCAGAAUGUCACGGUGAAUACGUUCCCGGGCCUUGUACACACCGCCCGUCACACCAUGGGAGUGGGUUGCUCCAGAAGUAGCUAGUCUAACCUUCGGGGGGACGGUUACCACGGAGUGAUUCAUGACUGGGGUGAAGUCGUAACAAGGUAGCCGUAGGGGAACCUGCGGCUGGAUCACCUCCUUAA
rnacentral:rRNA from 2 species